rnacentral:rRNA from 1 species
GUGGGGAAUAUUGGACAAUGGGCGAAAGCCUGAUCCAGCCAUGCCGCGUGUGUGAAGAAGGACUUCGGAUUGUAAAGCACUUUAAGUUGGGAGGAAGGGCAGUAAGUUAAUACCUUGCUGUUUUGACGUUACCGACAGAAUAAGCACCGGCUAACUUCGUGCCAGCAGCCGCGGUAAUACGAAGGGUGCAAGCGUUAAUCGGAAUUACUGGGCGUAAAGCGCGCGUAGGUGGUUUUGUAAGUUGGAGGUGAAAUCCCCGGGCUCAACCUGGGAACGGCAUCCAAAACUGCAUGACUAGAGUACGGUAGAGGGUAGUGGAAUUUCCUGUGUAGCGGUGAAAUGCGUAGAUAUAGGAAGGAACACCAGUGGCGAAGGCGACUACCUGGACUGAUACUGACACUGAGGCACGAAAGCGUGGGGAUCGAACAGGAUUAGAUACCCUGGUAGUCC